rnacentral:lncRNA from 10 species
CACGGCUACCAGCGGCUGGGGAUGAGGGAGUGACUGUUCAUGGGCAUGAGGGGAUUUUGGGGAAGUGACAGUGUUCUGGAACUAGAUAGCGGUGGUGUUUGCGUGGCAUCGUGAAGGUACCUAACGUCAGCGAACAGAAUACUUUAAAAUGGAUUUUGCAGGAAGUGGAAGAGGCGUGUAGAAGGUGCCAGAGGACAGACAGGAAGCCAAACCUAGAUGUCUUCCCCUGCCUUCAUUGGGAGGGUGCUGAGCCACGGGUUCCACCUCUGCCAAAGGCACACCUAGGAGACUCCUCAUGUCCAGCUGAGAAGAGGGGGACACCUCCUGUCUGAGACUGCAGCUCACACUGCUGCAUGCUUCCUGGACACCAUCUCUCUGACCUUGGUCGCAUCUGCCUAGCCUGCAGCUACGUUCUCUGACCUCCAGCUCUUCCUCUUUCUCCCCUCGGUAAUACCAAAGUCUCAAGAACACAGCCCUCACUUCUAGACAGAAAGGCCUCACCAGGACCCACCUGUGUGGCCCAGGUGUGACCUCAUGUACAAACACAUCUCCCAAAAUCACCAUCUCGUCAUCAUGGAUCCUAGUACUAUCCAUGAGUUAACUCUCAUUUCUGUGUUAAUCGGGGGUGCAGCACAUUUUGGUGCAGAUUCAUUGUGGCUUUGGGGUGCCAUUUGGGACUCUCCCCCAUGCACAAUGUGUGCCUAUCUCAUCAAAUUAAAUUAGGCUUGUUUUGGCCUGGCCAGUGUCCAUUCCUUCUUUUCCGGAUAAUAGCAUCUCAGUUUUCCAU